UGCCGCCCACCACGCCGCAGCCACCCACCACGCCGCAGCUGCCCACCACAGGCUCACGGCCCACGCAAGUCUGGCCCAUGACGGGAACCUCCACCACCAUCGGGCUUCUCAGCUCCACCGGACCCUCACCCAGCUCUAAUCACACCCCUGCCAGCCCCACCCAGACACCCCUCCUUCCAGCCACGCUCACAUCCUCCAAGCCCACAGCCUCCUCGGGAGGUAAGGAGCCUCCAGCUGAGCCCAUGGAGAGGGCAGCUGCAGGAGGUCCUAGGUACACCUCUGGGGUGGGCUUAGGGAUGGCCCUGCUUCCUGGCUCACAUCUGCCACUAAGCAGAUUCCCAGCGUAGAACUUCCUAUGCUUGGGAGCCAAACUGGGGAUUUUUCGGAAAAACUUUUAAAGACAA
rnacentral:misc_RNA from 1 species